CCUACGAGAGACUGCAGUGAGGAAUAUUGGUCAAUGGGCUUACGCCUGAACCAGCCAAGUCGCGUGAGGGAAGACUGCCCUAUGGGUUGUAAACCUCUUUUGUCAGGGAGCAACGCCGGCUACGUUUAGCCGGACUGAGAGUACAUGAAGAACAAGCAUCGGCUAACUCCGUGCCAGCAGCCGCGGGAAUACGUAGGAUGCGAGCGUUAUCCGGAUUUCAUGGGUUUAAAGGGUGCGUAGGCGGACUGCCCAGUCAGCGGUAAAAUCGCGGGGCUCAACCUCGCUCCGCCGUUGAAACUGGCGGUCGUGAGUGGGCGAGAGGUAUGCGGAAUGCGUGGUGUAGCGGGGAAAUGCAUAGAUAUCACGCAGAACUCCGAUUGCGAAGGCAGCAUACCGGCGCCCAACUGACGCUGAAGCACGAAAGCGUGGGUAUCGAACAGGAUUAGAUACCCCAGUAGUC
rnacentral:rRNA from 1 species